GGUUGAUCCUGCCAGUAAUCAUAUGCUUGUGUCAAAGAUUAAGCCAUGCAAGUCUUAGUACAGGUGGAUAAGAACCGAAACUGCGGAUGGCUCAAUAAAUCAGUCUCAAUUAAUUUAGUGAUUAGAAAGGUAAAAGGAUAACCCUGCUAAUUGUAGAGCUAAUACAUGAAUAAGACGCAUUAAAUGGGGUUUUGAAAGAGAUUUUAUUUAAUGUGGCAUUUGUCAGCUCGAGAAAGGAUAGAAAUGAACUCUUUUAAAAGGGGGGGAUAUUUUAAAACUUGUUAUUUGAAAA
rnacentral:rRNA from 1 species